GGUCAUACCCGCAUUAAUAUGGAUACCACACGGGUCGUUCAAUUAAUUUUACUUUCAGUAGAUUUUUUUUACUUCACCGUUCCCGAAAAAGAGACACCGCGUUUCUACCAUUUUCUUCUUGAAGCUUCCCCUGCUUCUUCGUCUUCACCGUCUUCUUCACUCCUCUCCACCGUUCGUACCAUUUUCUCCGGCGAUUGCUGCGUGGUUUUGAAAACGGUGCAGGGGUUGUGGCAGCCGCCGAGGACUUUGAGCGCGGUGACGAUGUCAGCGGUGCAGCGGAUAGGGCGGGUGCAGCCGUUGGUUUUGGGGCGGAACUCCAUGGAGAAGUUGAAGCUUCCAUCACAGAGAUGUCGUAAUAGUCUUUGUGGUUGAAGGAGUUGAGGCCGUGAGUUUUUCGAUAGCUAAUUGUAGAUAAAAACACGAUAGUAAUUGGAGCUAAUUUCUAAGGAAUGGCAAGCGAGGCAACGGGAAAAGACCAAGGAGUUUCAGAAGAGGCGGGCAGAGGAAGAUGAGGAAGAAGAGAGAAAGGUUGAUGAAUACCACGAAAUCGGCUUGCGCCCCAAGAAUUAUCGCGACGAAGACCUUCGAAAAAGCCAAGAAAUUGGUUUCCAGCUUCAUAAGAUCUGCUGAAGAGGUCGAAGAGAGAAUAGUGGAAGCUGCUGAGAAAGGUGAACUCACUGAACUGGUUCUUUUGGUCAUAUGGAAUCGCCUUGAUCUUGCUCGACGUAAUGUGAGUUAUCUUGUGUUAAUGCCACUUUACAAUCAAUUAUUAAAUUCUUGUAGUUUUAACUUGCAUUGUUUCAUUAUAUAAAUGAUAUAGUUUCAUUCUAAUUCUUGUAGUUUUAACUUCCAUUAAGUUUCAUUCCAAUUCUUGUAGUUUUAACUUGCAUUGUUUCAUUAUAUAAAUGAUAUAGUUUCCUUUCAAUUCUUGUAGUUUUAACUUGCAUUGUUUCAUUGUAUAAAUGAUAUAGUUUCAUUCCAAUACUUCAUUGUAUCAUGGUGUGGUAGGAACAGUGGGUCAUAUAGCCCCCGAGUACCUCUCCACCGGUAAGUGUACAGAGAAAAGUGAUGUGUUUAGUUAUGGGGUCUUUCUUCUUGAGGAAGCAAAUUCCUCAUCUUCUUCAUGAGCUCCCCUGUAUCGGCAGCGUGAAGUUAUUGGAUUUGGUAAGUGAAUUAUGCGAGGAGAAAAAGUUUGAAGUGAUGAUUGAUCCAGAUCUCAGAGGAAAUUACGUGGAAGAAGAGGUGGAGAAGUUGAUGUGAAUGGUUCUCAUCUGCACUCAGAGUGAUCCAGAUGCACGUCCCACGAUGUUAGAAUUCGUGAGGAUGUUUGAUUUUGAAGAUAGAGAUGACAUUGCUGAGAGGUGGGAAGAGCUGUUGCAUACUACGAAUUCAGACAAACGUCCGAGGAUGUCAUCUGUUGGUCCUAGUGUGGCUGAGAGAUUCAGAAACCUCUUCGAAAGAGAGAUUCAGAAUCCAACCCCAACUAAAGAAUGAAAGCUAGUUGCAAGUAUAAAAUUUAUAACUUAAUAAAAAUAUAUUGACAAACCAAACUCAUCUACUACCCCACAUCAACUAGUAGGCUUUUCCUACUUCUUUGCUACCAACCAACGAUCCAACACACAAAAAAGAAAAAGAAUAGUAUCAUUUACUAAAGCACAUAGUGUUAUUUACAUAUAAUGAAAGUGUCAACUUUAUAACAUUGUAAACGACUGUUCUAGUUGAUUUUCCAUUGAAGACUUCUCCUUGACCAAUAAUUCAUAACUUCUGCUUCAACAGCUCAAUUUGCUUAUCUAGUUUACCACAUUUCUCCAAAAUCAAUUAUGUUAUGAAAAGUCCAUAAGAAUAUGGCA